GCAUCGGUGGUUCAGUGGUAGAAUGCUCGCCUGCCACGCGGCGGGCCCGGGUUCGAUUCCCGUCCGAGCCA
rnacentral:tRNA from 1 species